AUCACCUCACAGCACAAACAUGAAGGCUCCCUCUCAGCUUUUGGUGUUCCUGCUAUUCUGGAUCCCAGGCAUGAUAUGUGACAUCCAGAUGACCCAAUCUCCAUCCUUGGCUGCAUCUCUAGGAGACAGAGUCACCAUUAAUUGCAGGGCAAGUGAAGGAAUUGGUAAUUUGUUAGCCUGGUAUCAGCAGAAACCAGGAAGCUCUCCUAGACUCCUCACAUACCAUACAGCCAACACGGAAUCUGUAGUUUUUGCAAAGUACAGUGGCAGUGGAUCUGGGACAGAUUUUACACUUAUCAUUAGCACCAUGGAGCCUCAAGAUGUUGCUACUUAUUACUGUCAGCAGUAUAAGAGUACCCCUCCCACAGUGAUACAAGCCAUGACAUAA